rnacentral:rRNA from 1 species
AUUGAACGCUGGCGGCAUGCCUUACACAUGCAAGUCGAACGGCAGCACGGGAGCAAUCCUGGUGGCGAGUGGCGAACGGGUGAGUAAUAUAUCGGAACGUGCCCAGUCGUGGGGGAUAACGUAGCGAAAGCUACGCUAAUACCGCAUACGAUCUAUGGAUGAAANCGGGGGAUCGCAAGACCUCGCGCGAUUGGAGCGGCCGAUAUCAGAUUAGGUAGUUGGUGAGGUAAAGGCUCACCAAGCCGACGAUCUGUAGCUGGUCUGAGAGGACGACCAGCCACACUGGGACUGAGACACGGCCCAGACUCCUACGGGAGGCAGCAGUGGGGAAUUUUGGACAAUGGGCGCAAGCCUGAUCCAGCAAUGCCGCGUGCAGGAUGAAGGCCUUCGGGUUGUAAACUGCUUUUGUACGGAACGAAACGGUGAGCNCUAAUACAGUUUGCUAAUGACGGUACCGUAAGAAUAAGCACCGGCUAACUACGUG